UGGUGUUAUAUCAACUCUGCUGAUUCUGUCCCCGUCUCCCUCUUCCUCUGACGCUGAUGUAACACACACUCAUGCGACGCUGAUAUCUGUCUGUCAUCAGCGCUAAUGCGGUCUGAGAAUGAACUCACAACCUGACAGAUAUUAUAGCAAAAAAUCAACGUUUGCUCACGUCGCUGCAAACUCAUAUUUCUCAUAUAAAUUGAAGGGAACACAAUUUGUUACAAAAUGAUGUUUAGAUAUUUUUAUUGGACCACAAGGCAAAAAUACAGAGGAAGACUAAAUGCAACUACUUUCUGCUCUGAUUUAAGGCCUUAGUUUGUGGAAGAGUGUAUAAAGACUUUAUAAGACCUGCAGAAACCCUUAAAGGUUCUUUGUAGUGGAAAAAGUUUCUUCAAAAAUAAAUAAAAGUCUCUUCUGCUCACCAAGGCUGCAUUUAUUUGUAAAAAAAGAAAAAAAGAAAAUACAGUAAAAAUUGUGAAAUAUUAUUCUAAUGUAAAAAAGCCAUUCUCUAUGUGAAUCUCUGUUAAACUGUAAUUUAUUUCUGUGAUCAAAUCUGAAUUUUCAGCAUCAUUACUCCAGUCUUCUGUGUCACAUGACCCUUAUGCAUAUGAUGCUUUGUGUGAGAAACUAAUUCAAAUGUAAAUGAUUGUCAUGCACUGCAGUGUCCAAAUCAAACAUAGUGCUACAUAUUCUUAAAAAUAAAGGUUCUUUCUUGGAACUGAACCUUUUUGUGCUUUUCAAUGCACAUUAUAAUAAAGGGUCCUUUAAAAAGAAAUAAGAUGAUUCUUUGAAGAACUGUUCACUGAAAGGUUCUUCACGAAGCCAAAAAUGGUUCUUUUGGAAGCUUUAUUUAUAAGAGAAUAUCUGAUGCAUCUGACAGCUUCAAGACUGAUUUAAAAUGUGAUUUUCAGCCCGUUCCUCACAUUUGACUUCAGAAGACGUGGAAUAACAGUCGACUUGUGCUUGACGGAUGUUAGUAAGAUCUUCCACUGUGUGCAAGCGAAAGAACACUCUUCAAAACAUCUUCUUCAUGUUUCACAGAAGAAAGAAGGGUUUGAAGGACACGAGGGCGAGUGAAGGACGUCAGGAUUGUAAUGUUUGUGUGAAAGGAUUCAAGCGUGAGCAGCGGUCUGUGGAUGCAGGCGCUGCUGCUGUACAGAUGGAGCUGCUCUGAUUUGUUCUGCUUCUCAUGGCUUCUGUGUCGUCUUUGUCUCCAGCGCAGAGGAACACAAAGAAGGAGGGUCCGGGUGGCCGUUUGGAACAGCUGAGGGUGUGUGUGUGUGUGUGUGUGUUAUUUUCUGACUUAUGGAGUGAUUAAGAGAAAUCCAAAAUCCUCUUUCAAAAAACCUUACUAAACUCUAAUAUGACAACAAAAUUAUAGAGCAUUUAUGUUCUGGAAAUGCAUGCUAAUGAGUGCAUAUUUAAUUAGAUAAUGCCUCAUUUGCGUAUUUAAACAACAUUUUAGAAAACAUUACAUUUUUUUUUUUGUUGUUGUUUGUAAUUCUUAAUGUAAUCAAUCAACUAUGGAGGCCUGUACUAUUGGGCCUAAUCUCAUCAGACUUGUGAAAUAUAAACCCAGAAUUGCAAGACUAAAAAUUCUGAAUUCCAGCAUUUUUCUUUGUAAUUUCAAGUGUGCAAAAAAAUGUAAAA
ensembl:lncRNA